GACGAACGCUGGCGGCGUGCUUAACACAUGCAAGUCGAACGGAAAGGCCCUGCCUUUGUGGGGUGCUCGAGUGGCGAACGGGUGAGUAACACGUGAGUAACCUGCCCUUGACUUUGGGAUAACUUCAGGAAACUGGGGCUAAUACCGGAUAGGAGCUCCUGCUGCAUGGUGGGGGUUGGAAAGUUUCGGCGGUUGGGGAUGGACUCGCGGCUUAUCAGCUUGUUGGUGGGGUAGUGGCUUACCAAGGCUUUGACGGGUAGCCGGCCUGAGAGGGUGACCGGCCACAUUGGGACUGAGAUACGGCCCAGACUCCCACGGGAGGCAGCAGUGGGGAAUAUUGCACAAUGGGCGGAAGCCUGAUGCAGCAACGCCGCGUGCGGGAUGACGGCCUUCGGGUUGUAAACCGCUUUCGCCUGUGACGAAGCGUGAGUGACGGUAAUGGGUAAAGAAGCACCGGCUAACUACGUG
rnacentral:rRNA from 1 species